AAACGCUGUCGUUUUCCAGCGACCACAGAGAGGGAGAGAGAAAAUCCUGGUGUAGUAACCGUUAUAUGCAUAAUUUCUUUUUUCAAUCCCACGCGCCCAUGUCUUCCAACCGUUUAAACCUCAUUUUCCCACCCAAAAGAUUCCCACCAACCUCCCUUAUCCCCUCUCUCUUUCUCAAGAAUUUAACUCUUUAGUCUUUUUCAUCAUUAACUCUCUGAAACAAACCCAUUUGUUACCAUCAAGAUUCAAUGACUAUGCCUCCAAGAAAGCUUCUUUUUUUCUUCUUUCUCUUCGUUCUCUUCAACUUCAUAGACCCUUUUCUUGUCUUGGCCAAUAAUGUCAGUUUCGAUUUCUCUUCUUUAACUCUCCGGAACCUCACUCUUCUUGGCGAUUCCUAUCUACGGAAUGGUGUCGUUGGCCUCACACGCGAUGUUACUGUCCCUUCUUCGAGCUCAGGCACUGUAAUCUACAAUAUUCCGGUUUCCUUCUUCGACGCAGAAUCUAAUAUUACAGCUUCUUUUUCAACAAGGUUCACUUUUUCCAUUGAUAAUGUCAAUCCAAGCUCUUUUGGGGAUGGUUUCACCUUUUUUCUUUCACAAGAUAACCAGACUCUUGGUAGCCCGGGCGGGUUCUUAGGUCUUGUUAAUUCCUCUCAAUUGACCAAGAACAAAUUUGUGGCUAUUGAGUUUGACACCAGGCUUGAUGCCCAUUUCAAUGAUCCAAAUGAGAACCAUGUUGGUUUAGAUAUUGAUAGCCUUGAUUCAAUCAAGUCUGCUAAUCCUAGCUCACAAAAUAUUGAUUUAAAGAGUGGGAAUUCAAUUACAGCUUGGAUCAAUUACAAGAAUGAUUUGAGGGUCUUGAAUGUUUUCUUGAGUUAUUCAAGUUUGAUGCCUGCUACGCCAUUAUUGACUGUAGAUGUAGAUCUCUCUGGGUAUCUUAAAGAAGCUAUGUAUGUGGGGUUUUCCGGUUCUACAGAAGGGAGCACCGAGCUCCACUUGAUUGAGAGUUGGAGCUUUGAAACCUCCGGCUUCCUUCCUGUGAGGCCAAAAUCACAUCCUCAUAAUGUGUCUGACACCUCUGUGACAGUAACAACGCCCAUUUGGAGCUCUGCAGAGAAGCAUCACAAAGGGCUUGGCUUGGGUCUUGGGAUUGCCGGUCCGGCUUUCUUUUGUGUGUUCCUGGUGAUUUUGGGGUACAUAACUGUCAAGAAGUGGCAGAAAAUUAAAAUAGUGAACAGCCUAAAAGCAGAGCUAGUGGCAGGGCCAAGGGAAUACAGUUACAAAGAGCUGAGUUCAGCCACUAAAGGUUUUCAUUCAAGCAGAAUGAUAGGCAGAGGCUCAUUUGGGAAUGUGUAUAAAGCUUAUUUUAUGUCUUCAGGCACCAUUGCAGCGGUUAAAAGAUCGAAGCAUUCCCAUGAAGGUAAAGCUGACUUCAUUGCUGAAUUGUCUAUAAUUGCUUGUUUGAGGCACAAGAAUUUGGUUCAACUACAGGGUUGGUGUGUUGAGAAGGAUGAGUUGUUGCUUGUUUACGAGUUUAUGCCUUAUGGAAGCCUUGAUAAGAUAAUAUACCAAGAGCCUGAGAAUGGUCCAUUUUUAACUUGGUCUCAUCGGCAAAAUGUUGCCAUUGGUUUGGCCUCUGCAUUGACAUAUUUGCAUCAAGAAUGUGAGCAGCAAGUCAUUCACAGAGACAUAAAGACGAGUAAUGUAAUGCUGGAUGGGAAUUUCAAUGCGAGGCUGGGUGACUUUGGGUUGGCGAGGCUAAUGGAUCAUGAUAAGAGUCCUGUUUCUACACUUACUGCUGGAACAAUGGGGUAUUUAGCUCCUGAGUAUCUUCACUAUGGGAAAGCAACAGAGAGAACUGAUGUUUUUAGUUAUGGUGUGGUUAUGCUUGAAGUGGCUUGUGGCAGAAGGCCAAUUGAGAGAGAAUCAGAAAGCCAAAAAAUGGUUAAUUUGGUUGACUGGGUGUGGGCAUUGCAUGGUCAGGGAAAGAUCAUUGAAGCGGCUGAUAAAAGGCUGAAUGGGGAGUUCAAGGAGGAAGAAAUGAGGAGGCUGUUGCUUGUAGGCUUGAGCUGUGCUAAUCCAGAUAGCAUGGAGAGACCUACAAUGAGAAGAGUCCUGCAAAUACUUAAUGGUGACGCUGAGACUACGAUUGUGCCAAAGGUGAAACCAACUCUCACGUUCUCUGCCGGCUUGUCUUUGACUCUUGAGGACAUUGUUUCUGAUUGUGAAUGAUGCAAGAUUCCCCACUAUAUAGCUGUCUGGAGUAGCCUUUUAAGGUUUUCUUCGGCCAUGCUUCCAGAUUGUUUGAUUCUUUCACAUCUUUGUAUUUCAGAUUGUAGUUUAGUUAUUUGUGAAGAACGAUUCAUUGUCCUUAGUUCAAUACCGUUCUAUUGAACUACCUGCAGAUAGAUAGAUCAGUUUCUUAACAAAUUCAAUGUGCAUUUGAUCUUCACAAAUAUUCAAUUAACAAGUUUUUUCCUCUAUUGCAUCUUCUUCUAGCCUAUAAUUUAUGUGUAGACUCACUAAGAUAGAUUUCUAUACACAUUUUGGCGAUGUAGUUUAACAAAUUUCUGGUUGUAUGUUUGUGACUUCAGAUAUCCCUUUCUGUAAGCGUAUUUCAGAUAUCACUAUCAAUUCAUUGAUCCAGU
rnacentral:misc_RNA from 1 species